rnacentral:rRNA from 1 species
UUAUUUGAAACGGGGUACAACCCCUGAUACCGGGUUCAUCUAGAUACCUCAAAUAAAGUGGGCCUAAAAGCAGCCAUCUUCCAAAAAGCGUUAAAGCUUAACUUGACCAUAUCUACAAUUCCAUGACUUCUACUCAACCCUUCACCUCUACUGAACUAUUUUAUACCCCUAUAAAAGUCAUCAUGCUAGAACUAGUAACAAGAAAUUGCCUUUCUCCAAAAAUGUAUGUUUAAACCAAAAUGGACCCUCCACUGGUAGUUAACGCAAAUGUAAAUAUCAUAGCACCACACGGCUAGAAAACCCUAUGAUCCUCAACGUCAACCUUACACUAGAACAUUCCAGGAAAGAUUAAAAGAGAAAGAAGGAACUCGGCAAAUCACAGCCCCGCCUGUUUACCAAAAACAUCGCCUCUUGCCUAAAUAUAAGAGGUCCAGCCUGCCCAGUGACAUAGUUUAACGGCCGCGGUACCCUAACCGUGCAAAGGUAGCAUAAUCACUUGUUCCUUAAAUAGGGACUCGUAUCAACGGCAUCACGAGGGCUGUACUGUCUCCUUUCUCCAAUCAGUGAAACUGAUCUCCCCGUGAAGAAGCGGGGAUAAACCUAUAAGACGAGAAGACCCCAUGGAGCUUUAAACCCAUCACACACCUCUACGCACUUAAAUCAGUAUAGCCCAAGAAGCUUGUGUGUUGGUUUUAGGUUGGGGGGACCGCGGAGUAAAAUUAAACCUCCACGAUAGACGGGCUAACACCCUUAUCCAUGAACCACAAUUCUAAGAGCCAAUAAAUUGUUAUCUAAUGACCCAAUUACUUGAUCAACGAACCAAGUUACCCUGGGGAUAACAGCGCAAUCUACUUCAAGAGCCCCUAUCGACAAGUAGGUUUACGACCUCGAUGUUGGAUCAGGGUAUCCUAGUGGUGCAGCCGCUACUAAAGGUUCGUUUGUUCAACGAUUAAAACCCU